GUACACUCCUACGGGAGGCAGCAGUGGGGAAUAUUGGACAAUGGGCGCAAGCCUGAUCCAGCCAUGCCGCGUGAGUGAUGAAGGCCCUAGGGUCGUAAAGCUCUUUCACCGGUGAAGAUAAUGACGGUAACCGGAGAAGAAGCCCCGGCUAACUUCGUGCCAGCAGCCGCGGUAAUACGAAGGGGGCUAGCGUUGUUCGGAUUUACUGGGCGUAAAGCGCACGUAGGCGGACUAUUAAGUCAGGGGUGAAAUCCCGGGGCUCAACCCCGGAACUGCCUUUGAUACUGGUAGUCUUGAGUUCGAGAGAGGUGAGUGGAAUUCCGAGUGUAGAGGUGAAAUUCGUAGAUAUUCGGAGGAACACCAGUGGCGAAGGCGGCUCACUGGCUCGAUACUGACGCUGAGGUGCGAAAGCGUGGGGAACAAACAGGAUUAGAAACCCCUGUAGUCCC
rnacentral:rRNA from 1 species